rnacentral:rRNA from 1 species
AUUGAACGCUGGCGGCAUGCCUUACACAUGCAAGUCGAACGGUAACAGGUUAAGCUGACGAGUGGCGAACGGGUGAGUAAUGUAUCGGAACGUGCCCAGUCGUGGGGGAUAACUGCUCGAAAGAGCAGCUAAUACCGCAUACGACCUGAGGGUGAAAGCGGGGGAUCGCAAGGCCUCGCGCGAUUGGAGCGGCCGGUAUCAGAUUGGGUAGUUGGUGAGGUAAAGGCUCUCUAAGUCGACGAUCUGUAGCUGGUCUGAGAGGACGACCAGCCACAUGGGGGCUGAGACACGGCCAAUAGUCCUACGGUAGGGAGCAGUGGGGAAUGUGGGGCAAUGGGGGCAAGUCUUAUCCAGCCAUGCCGCGUGUGGGAAGGAGGCCCUCGGGUUGUAAACCGCGUUUGUCAGGUAAGAAAAGGUUCUGGCUAAUACCUGGGGUUCAUGACGGUAACUGAAGAAGAAGCACCGGCUAACUACGUG